CCAGGUAAGUAAUUUUAUUUUUCUAAGUCUUUUGAGGUGGGGGUAGGGGUUGGGGAGGGGGUUGGUGCCCUCGGGGUUUUCAGGGUUGAUUCAGCCUGGAAAACCCAAGAGGGCUGUGCAGACUAACCUCUCGGUAGUCCCAGAACUACUGAAGGGUCAGUCCCCAGAGGGCCCAUAUUGCAUUAGACCUGGGUCUUUCAGGAAGACCUGGGUCUAAGGCAGCAUCAAAUUAAUUCAUGAGAAAGCAGGGUUUUUCUGCUUUGUCUCGAAAUAAUUUGGUCUUUCCGGAGAUGCCGUUUGGACACUUCCAGUAAAACCAUGGGAGCUCCUGCAUUAUGGGCCCUGUGUGGAAGGGCCCCUAGAGUCCUAAUCCAGCACUGGAACCUCUGCACCAGCUGGAGUGUAUAUACUGUCUCUUAUGGCAGUGCCCUUGGGACUGACAGACAAAUAGAUGAAGAAAUAUGAUUUCAUAGCCCAGAGACCUUAAGGAGCAUGAAGUAUUCUCAGCUGGAGUGUAUAUACAUAGAGGAAAUAGUAAAAACUGGUUUUAUCUGUCAUAACAUGGAGAAGGCAGUAUAUGGCAAUUCAGUGAGAAAUUUAAAUCUAUUUAAAGCACAAUGACCGCAAAGCUUUUUCUAAGAGAAAAAGCAAGAUUGAUAAAAGUAAACACAAUGAUUACUUUUGGCAUAGUGAGAUCCUUGUAACUGCAAAACCCAUACCUGUGGUUUCACUUACCCAUGGAGGGAGUGUCUCUCUAGGCAUUUAGUAGAGAUUAUAAUGUUAUUCCCUUGUUGCCAUAGAGUCAUGCUGAGGACCUAGUACAUUCCUAGCACAUCCCCUGGGUGCAACUCUAUUGUAUGCUGGAACCAGAAGUCAAGUAGUUUAAUGCUCUUUGUGGCUUCAGAAAGCUGUGGUUGCAGUUAUCACUGGGAUUGUAUUCAUCACUGAUAUGUAGGUUUCAUUUGCUCCUGACAAAAGCUCCUGACUUAUAAUAGCGAAAAGGCAACAUUGUGGCGGUUUAUCACCGUCUUUAAAUUAAGAUAAAGUCUGCUGUGUAAUAAGGCUGUCACAUUGGCUUGAAUAAAACAAUAAUAGUAUCUUUAUUCAGGUUCAAGAGUUCAAACACAUACACAGGGUAACAGUAUGUAACAGUCCUUUUUAAAAUAUGUAACAGUCCUUUUAAAUAUGCCUCAUUCCUUCUUUAAAUAGUCAAACUUUGGAGAGCAUGACGACCAUUACAUUCCUAGUCAAAAAUCUAGUCAGCUCCUUUCUCUGACUCGCCAGAAGAGAAGACAAACUGAAAACGUCAGUUGGAAAAACCGUUGGUUUGCCUCUGCCAAGCCAAAGGCAACAACCAAUCAGAAUAUUGGCUGGCAUAGCCAAGCAGCUGUCACCAUAGCAACCCUUUCCAGUGAACUCAUCGCAAUAUGGAGUCUUUAUUUCAUAUUCCCUCACAAACAUGAUACGGGGCGAUGGUAUCCCCCACUGCCCCACAGAUUCGUCACGCUGGCUGGCCAAUCCCUCUUUUGCCGCCCACGUAUGAGACCUCAAUUAGAUGAGGUAUUUAUGGAAGCUACUGCCUGCCUGAUGCUUGGUCCUCUUCCCCCAACUCAAAGGGCAAUGAUGUGAGGGGCCAUGCCACUUCAGUCCUAGUGACAAAGUGUCAGGUAAAAGAUAAUGAUAGACACUGAUUGGAUAGUUUUGAAAGUAAAUGGGAAAAUCUGUGAAUGACAGAACUUUUAAUGAUAUCUAGUUAUGAUGACUGUAUGUGACACCUAGUAUCAGAGGCAAUAUAUUUCAUGGCUUCAAAACCAGCUUUAGCUCUGAAUGACUGUAUGGAGAAAGUAAUGGGCUGAAUGAAACUGACAACUGAAUCCAGACAAAACAGAUGUGCUUGCCACCAAGGGUCCUACUCUGGGGAUAGAGGUGUAUCAACCAGUUCUGGAUGGGGUUACGCUCCCCCUGAAAUACUGUGUUUGCAGAUUGGGAGUGCUCCUGGAUCCAGCUCUCGAAAUGUCAGUCCAGGUAGAUGCAAUGGUCAGGAGUACUUACUACCAGCUCUGACUACCAGCUGAUACUCCAGCUGCACCCCUUCCUAGAUUUGGAGGACCUGAAGAUGGUAGUGCAUGUAAUGGUAACCUCAAGGUUGGACUUCUGCAAUGUGUUUAACAUUGGGCUACCCUGUUAUCAAAUUCGGAAACUCCAGCUGGUUCAAAACAUGGCAGCUAGAUUUGUUACAGGGACAUCUAGGAGUGAGCAUAUUACACCUAUCAUAAAAUCAGUCCACUGGUUGCAAAUUAGUUUACAGGCAAAGUGCAAGGUGUUGAUUUUGACCUUUAAAGCACAACAUGGUUUGGGUUCAGGUUAGUCCUCAUGGACAACAAGUUAAACAUGAGCCUACAAUGUAAUGCGGCUGCUAAAAAAGCCAACGGGAUUCUGGCCUGCAUAAAUAGGGGUGUAGCAUCUAGAUCCAGGGAAGUCAUGCUACCCCUCUAUUCUGCCUUGGUCAGACCACACCUGGAAUACUGUGUCCAAUUCUGGGCACCGCAAUUGAAGGGAGAUGUUGACAAGCUGGAAAGCGUCCAGAAGAGGGCAACUAAAACGAUCAAGGGUCUGGAGAACAAGCCCUAUGAGGAGCGGCUUAAAGAACUGGGCAUGUUUAGCCUGCAGAAGAGAAAGGACUCUCUGCCCCGGACUGUGGUGGAGGUUCCUUCUUUGGAGGCUUUUAAGCAGAGGCUGGAUGGCCAUCUGUCAGGGGUGAUUUGAAUCGCUUUCCUGCUUCUUGGCAGGGGGUUGGACUGGAUGGCCCAUGAGGUCUCUUCCAACUCUACUAUUCUAUGAUUCUAUGAUUCUACCUAAAGGAUUGCCUUCUCCUGUACAAUCUGCCCUACAAACACAUUUCAAAUUAGUUAAUUUUCUUCCUAUCAGCUUUCUUCAUUGUCCCGUUAUCACAACUAGAAAUACAAUAGCACAGACCAUCCCAACUUUAAUAUCCAAUGAUAUAUUUUUAGACUUCAGGAUCUUGUAUAGUUUCUUCAUAGCUACCCUUCCAAGUCCUAGUUUUUUUUCUUAUUUAUUGACAGCAAUCUCCAUUUUGAUAACAACUGAGCAAAGGUAUGGACUAUCUUGGAACUAUUUUAAUGCCUUUUAAUAUUUUGAUAUACUGAAUAUAAUAUUCUGUAUUGAUUUUAUUAUACUGGAAAAUAUAGAUUAUCUAUAUGUUUCAGAUGGCUGCCUAUCAUUCUUGCUUGUUGUCUUCCUUCCAGUCCUCCAGCCAGACUGCUGCCUGUGUGUGUAAGCAGCACAUUUGUUCUUUGGCAUGUCACUUUGGAUGAUGUCACGCACAAUCCUUAAUUUAAGGCAUUGCAGUGAACAGUGGUUAACAAAAGCAAACAUGAUUAGCAAUUUGAAAAACUACAGUCAUGUGCCUGUUUACCUCGGAGUAAGCUGCAUUCUCCAAUAAAUGGAAAAGAAAGCAGCAUUUAUCUGUAAGCCAGCAUACAAGAUAUGCAAUUGAAAACUGGCCUUCACUUUCUGUAGUUUUGGAGUGUGUUUCCAUAGCAUUAAGGCUUACAAUAGUUGAGAACUUGAAUGGAGAACCUUUGGACAUAACUGUAGACCCCAUUUGAGUUCUGCCUAUAGUGUGGAUCUUGGAUUCACCAUCACUAGCAGUUUAUUUCAUACUGUAUUGUAUUUGACAUAAAUGAGGCUGAGAGAUUUCAAUAAAAUAAAUGGUGUGACAUUAAAACAGGAAUUUACUAUAUUACAUCUGCUAUUCAUAUGCAAGUUUUAUAUCUAUGUGCAAGAGGUGAUUAGAAGGCUGGGAAGCAAUUAAUCUUGUAUUUUUCUGUAAUUUAUCAGAUUUCUGAGGAGUAUCUCAAUUUUUAAAACAAAACUUUGGUUUUCUGAAUAGAUGUUUAGAUUUAUCUGAUUAACUGAUUUAUGGCCCUAUAAUUGUUCAGUGUGAACAGGCUCAGUCGCUGUAAAACUGCCAUUAAAAAUUCCAGCUACCCUUUUCUUAGUGCUGUACCAUUCCUCAUCAGCUUUUCUUUCUAAAUUAUAUCAGCUGGAGAGUACAAAAUAUGGUCUUGAUUAAACAGCAAAGCAAUCUGUUUUGCCAGGUGUAGUAACUGUGUGAAGCAGUUUGAUACGCAUAACGAAAGCUGUUGAUAUGCCAGUUAUAACAACUGUGUUUGUGAGAUUUGUUAUAUUCACCUGAGGUUUAUUUAAAAAGAUACAAAUAUCUUAAUAUAAACAUUAAUAUAAAAUUAACACAAAAUUCAGGGUAAACCUGGCAUCCACAUUCACCUGGAACCCUUCUUUGUGGAUAUGCUAGGCUGGAAAACCUGGAAGAAGAUCACUACCACAGCAACUGAGCACUGCUCAUAUCAUAGGAUUUGUGUUGUCCCUUCUUGGCCAGUCAAAAAACGUUUUUGAGGCAAAGAUGGUCCUUGGAUGAAGAAAACCAGAAUCGAAGCUUCUUCCUUUGGAUCUACUAACAAAAUAUAUGGAAAAGGGUUCCUCUGAUACCUCCUUGCUAUGUUUCUGACUGGCGGCUGAGAGUGAAUUAGCCAUUUCUGUUCCAGAUAGAGGUCCCUUGUAGGGGUUUCUAAGCUCAAGCUUGAAAUGGGACCGAUGUAUUGCUUUCUUCUCUGAUACUAGAUGGCUGGUUGCUGGCAUACGGUAUUGCUAGCUAUGUCCACUUUCCACUUUUGCAGUAAAGCUGACAAACCUUGGUUUGUCAGAAACUAGAUCCUUGUUCCAAGUACUAUGCCUUGCCUCUGUGUGAAGCUAUAUCCAAUGAGGUUGUGGCAUUUUAUCCUGCCAAAUUAUGCACUUGAUUUGAGAUGCCAAAUUCACCAUGGCUGCUCCUGGAUACAGGUACAAUUCUUUUAAUUCUUAUGUUAAAUAGUUUGUUAUGAAAUGGAAGGUAAUUCUUGGAUGCUGUUUUCACCUUAUAGGAUUGGAAUGUAAAUAAAAUUAAUAAAGUGCCACAAAGGAAUGUAGCAACCUGAGUUGGGAAGAAUUGGAAACCUUACAAGAAAGCUCGCUUCCCCAAGAUUUCCAGCAGGGAAACACGAACCUACUACAUGGAUAUUUGAUCUCAUUCACCAGAAAAUCCUGUAUUAAGAUCUCAUCUGCAAAAUAUUCCAGUUGGAAAUAAACAGGAGAAUAGGCACGCUUCGCAAAAAGUGGACCCACGUGAGACUUGCAGGCAGAACUGAUGAAAGAGCAGACCCCUCAUUGAAUUAAUAAAAUUGUCUGUAAUUUGCAAGUGUCAAAAGAGUGAGUUGUUGAAAGGUAAGGUGUGAGAAAGUGAGGGAAGCCACAAUAAGACUGAAAUCCUAGUUUGGUUUCCUUGGAGGUAAGUUCAGUCAGCACAGGAGAACCUCCUUAGAUGAAACAUGCACUGGAUUGUGCUGGAUUCUCAUAUCCUUUAAAGGAGAAGUCACCUUUGGACACUUCUGGGAAAAACUGAUGCUUCCAGAACAAAACAGGAAAACUCUGCUUUGUCCCAAAAUAAGUUGUCAGCUGGAAAGACCCAGGUCUUUCAGAAGACCUGGAUCUUUGCAGCUGUGGGCACUGUGUAGAUGGGACCAUCUACACAGCUGUCUCUCAGGUUUCUUGGGCUCCUGGAGCCCAUGAAACUCAAGAUAGCCCCUCCCUCCCUCCCCAAACCCCUUAAAAGGCCUUUCAAAAGGAAAAUAACUUACCCGGCUGCCAUUCCCCCUUCUCCAGAGCUUUCCUGGUAUGUAGAAAUGGCGUGCCAGGAGAAGGAGAGGAGGA